UUCGCUGCAGUCGUCGGGUCCCUUUGUCUGGAGGGACGUUGUGCGCGGGGAGGUUAUGUGAAGUCGAUUUGUGUCUUGGUUGUGAUAUUGCUGACAAACGUGUGAUGGAUAAACACUCCCCAAAACAGUACAUAGCUGGCUGUUUAUUUUAUUGCUUGUUGCCAGUUUUUCAGCCACAGGAACCUCUCUUGUGUGAUUUUCAGAAGGCCACUAAACUGACAUGUAUGAAUUCAAGAAGGAAGUCUGUGUAGUGAACAGAGUGUUCGAUGUUUAGUCCUGCUGAAUUUCAGGAAGGCCUUUGUUUUAUUAUAUAUUCUAAGCAAGCCCCGGUUUGUGUUGUGUGCACCUAUUUUUGCUGCUAAUGGCCUAUUGCUAAGAGUCUUGAUGCAGGAAAUGAUUUUGACAGCGAAAGAGGAAGUGGCGGUAUGAUAAGUUGUAUGAAUUAGGUAGCAUAUAUAGAAACACUGACGAAGAUAUUUCGUCCAAGCAGUGAACUUUGUCAAUGAAGAGAUGAUAGCAGUGUUAGUUUAAGAACUCAUGUUCCUAGACGAAGGACGGAAGUCCCACAGCUUUCUUCAAGAAGAAAGCGCAGUAGGGCUUAUGGUAAUUAGUGUAAUGUCAUUUUGGUGACCGUCGCAUGCUUCUCUCUCUCCACCGCCCAGACUUUAUACCAUCCUGUUGAACUGAGUGCAGUGAAGAGCAACAACGGCAGGUCCUUGUGUUCUGAACGGUUGGAGGUGUCAGUGAAUUGCUGCAACCCCGCUAGCUUCACUGCCACUUCAUGGCUGUUGUUGGCCCGAGCAGACACUCCAGGGUGUCCAUGUCUGUUUCGAUGUCACUCAUGCAGGGCGGGGGAGGAGGGGGAGGACACCAGCAAGCCAUUCUGGCGGCAGCGGCGGCUCAACCCUAUUAUCAUCCGCAACAUCCACACCAGACGCCAGCGACGCCGGCGCAUUCUCACACCCAGGACGUGCAGCCUGACAGGCCAAUUGGUUAUGGAGCUUUCGGUGUUGUCUGGGCGGUGACAGACCCACGCGAUGGGCGAAGAGUCGCCCUCAAGAAGCUACCGAACGUCUUCCAGUCGCUGGUUUCUUCCAAACGCGUGUUCAGAGAGCUGAAGAUGCUCUGUUUCUUCAAGCACGAGAACGUUUUGUCGGCGCUGGAUAUUCUGCAGCCCCCUCAUCUAGACUUCUUCCAGGAAAUUUACGUCAUCACGGAACUCCUGCAAAGUGAUCUCCACAAGAUCAUCGUGUCACCGCAGCAUCUGUCAGCUGAUCAUAUCAAAGUCUUCCUGUACCAGAUUCUGCGCGGUCUCAAGUAUCUCCACUCUGCCCGCAUUCUUCAUCGAGACAUCAAACCUGGCAACUUGCUUGUCAACAGCAAUUGUGUUCUUAAGAUCUGUGACUUCGGGUUGGCCCGGGUGGAGGAGCCAGACCAGUCGAAACAUAUGACACAGGAAGUGGUGACACAGUACUAUCGAGCACCAGAGAUACUAAUGGGAGCACGUCACUAUUCAGCUGCAGUUGAUGUCUGGAGCGUUGGGUGCAUUUUUGGAGAACUGUUGGGAAGACGGAUCCUCUUCCAGGCACAGAGUCCGGUUCAGCAGCUUGAGCUGAUUACUGAGUUACUGGGCACCCCUUCACUGGAAGAUAUGCGCUAUGCUUGUGAUGGUGCACGUACCCACAUGCUGCGACGAGCUCCUAAGCCACCUUCCUUAACAGCACUGUACACACUAUCAUCGCAAGCAACACAUGAAGCUGUGCACCUCCUGUGCCAGAUGCUAGUCUUUGAUCCGGACAAAAGAAUAACAGUGGUGGAUGCCCUAGCACACCCAUACCUGGACGAAGGGCGGUUGCGAUACCACUCUUGUAUGUGUAAGUGCUGCUACACGACUACUGGUGGCAUGAGGCAGUACACAGCUGACUUUGAGCCAGUUGCUCCACACAGUUUUGAUGACCUUUGGGAGAAGAAACUUACUUCUGUUCAGCAGGUUAAAGAGGAAAUGCACAAGUUCAUUGCGGAACAACUGAAUACCAGUAGAGUCCCGUUGUGCAUUAAUCCUCAGUCUGCAGCUUUCAAGAGCUUUGCCAGGUAAGGCUGCUGCAGGCUCAACGAGAGUCAUGUGGCGGGCUCGCUCAGUGGGGACAUGAGGCAGGCGGCGGCUGACGGAGACCUUCACUACUCUCACUACUUCUACUUCAUCCCUUCCCCGAUAACGCUAAUGCUAUAAACCAUGUUGCGACCUCUGGAAAUGCUGAGGCUCUGCAGUUGCUCACCUGUCUGAACUACCUCCCUCGCCCCACCAAUGGGAGUGACAUUAUCCUCACCCUAGUUUGCAAUUGUGAAACGCUCUAUCGUCUGAAGCUUGGGCUGCUUCUGUUUCACCCAAGUGGGGUAUGGCCUACUACUUCACACAAAAACCUCGUUUAACACGUCAUGUUUUGGGAAUCCAAUCUGAUUAACCGCACUAACGAAUAUUGCUAUCGAACAAGAGUCCCAUGGGAACGUGGGAACGUGGAUUGCUUGAAAGCUUCCCUAUUACUCUGGUUACCAUGAUAAAGAACUAACUUAAAUUGGUCUCCUUAAGCCCUGUAACAGUGUGGGUGUGUGUGUGUGUGUGUAUGUGCAGCAAGUGCUGUUGGACCAGUGGAAGUAAGACAAGAUGGAACAGACACCCAUAGUAUCGCUUAGCCCAUUUUGAGGAGCUGCCAGUGAUGUGUGAAGUAGAAAUGGAAAACUGUUAUGAUGAUCAGGAGGAAUGUUGUUUUGAAAGGAUAAAUGGAUAACUUGCAUGGAACAGGUCAAAUAUGUCUGCCUGACUACAGGAAAUAAAGUAUAGGAAGCUGUGACUUGCGCAGUGGAGCCACUUGAUGUCAGCAGGAUCUGUACCAUAUGCCAGUCGCGACUUGUGGGUUCGGAUAAUGCGAAUGGCAAAAACUUGCCUCUUCAUGACAGUGUGAAGGGGAUAAUGAACUGUUAAAUGUAAUGGCUGAAUAUUCUGUGAUCCGAGGGUGAGACCAGAUUCUGAGUUGCCUCCCUGUUGCCCAACAGAAUGUUUUUUUGUUAGUACACUUUUGUUUUACUUUUAUGAUAACUUGAAGUUAACAGCAGUGGAUUCCACAGUUUCUAAGCUUUGCCUCUUUAGAAUUGGGGGCAUAGCAAGGUGUAAAUACAAGCACAAAUUUUAAUUUUCUCUUUUAAUUUUGAACGUAUUUGUACUGUAAAAUCUGUGAUUUACUGAGAACACCUGAAAUUUUAGAAAGAACAUUCUCGUAGGUAUUAUUCCCAGUAUUUUCAAAAUGUAAAUAGUUGUCACUUUUAUUUUAGUUCUUUUAUAGUCUGAUCAUACUGGGGUAUUUUUAAAAUGAAUAACGCAUUUCUCUGUGUCGGGGUGUCUGUAAUUGUGAUUCGUGUUGUAGAUUGUGAACAAUACCACAGUGCAGUGUAAAUAGUUGUAAAGUAAGUCAUUUGUGUUCAUGUCUUCAUUACGCUGCAUGUAACAAGUGUACUGGAACUGUAUAUACAUUUUGUAACAAGCUGAGUGGAGGUUGCAGUUUAUAUUUUAGUCCUGCUAUGCCCCUAUGUAUGUACUAGUGUUCACUUUGAAGCGAGGAGCAAAUAGUUUUAGAGGGAUUAAAAGGAAACUUCCAUCGAUCUCAUAAUCAACAACUUAGUCAUCUAUGUCAAAAUAUUUUUUAUUGUUUUUAAUUUAAGUAAAUGUUUCCUAUUACAUUAGUGUUUUUUUACACUUGCAUCAAAUUUUUAUGGUGCAGUUUGAAGAAAUGGGCAUUGUAGUGACUGCAUCCCCCCAUACAGUAGUUUUCCAUCCCGUCAGAAUUGUGUCAGUAGGCUGUACAUAACACCAUGUGUCCCCAGAAACUAAUUAUGAGUAUGUGUGAUUACAGAGGCAUUGUGCAUUAACAUUUUACACCUCCAUGUUUCAGUUCCCUACCUUGCAAUGGAUCAUUAUGGGAAAUUUAUUCACAGAAGUGCAAUGCAAAGCAUUCGAGUCAAUGUGUUAUCGUGUUUCUCCUCAUACCUAAUGCUACCUACCAUUUACUGAAUCCAGGGCUGGUGAUUUCAAUUGUUAUAUUAACAAUAUGCAGAUAUUUUACAGAGUGAAUAUGUAAACCAAAAAGCACGGAGAUAUCUCAUGAAAUGUUCUACAGGUAUUUCAGUCUUUGGUUCACAUAAAAUAAUUAGAAAAUUUGCAAGUCUUACAUGCUGUUGCCUUUGAGUUCUCCAAAUAGAUUAGGUUAGCUUUAGAUGUAGGUUUAGUUUUAGAGUUGAUUACAUAUAGGUUAGGGAAGAAAUAGAUUCUGAGUCUUGUUCUGUUCACCUUACAGAGGCCUUAACAGACAGUGAACAUAAGUUAACUUCCUUGUGAUGUGUAGAACUGUGUGUGUGAGUGUUUAUAUGCGCAUCAUCUCUUGUCUUGAUUGCUAGUGUUGGAGAAUGGGCAUUGCGAGGUAAUUUGAAAUGAAUGUCUCCGUUGUUGCCAAAGUAUGAAAUAUUCAGGCUGUUUUCAUUCCCCAGUAAACUGUAGGAUAGUUGGUUUACUUUGAUUAUUAACACAAUGAAGUAGUUGUUUAAUUUGCCACCAAUCACUGCCAUUUGUAUCUGGUCUUUGGAUCAAACUUACCUUUCUGCAGGAAUGUUGCUAUCCCUGCAUGAAUGAAAUGCAUUCCUUCAUUAUGUGCGCUGUUAUGGAUUUGAUGUCAUCGCAUAUGGAUUGAUAGAAUUUUGGCAUCGACAAUAUUAAAUGCGGUAAAUGUAGUCAGAUUUCGAGAAUAUUAAAGUUGAAAUCUUAAUGCUGAGAGGGAGCUAGCAUAUUUAUUUAUACUGCAUGUUGUGAGGUCAAGUCAGCUGUGUGCAGCAGGAGCGUUGACAGAUAAUACCAUUUUCAAAAUCAAUGAACAUUCUUAGUGAUUAUUAAAGUAUGUUAUACCUUGGCGUAUCAGAAUUCAGGCAUGCCUAAUGGACCUUCAUAACUUGUCAUGUAUUGAUGUUCUGCCGCUAAAUUAUCUUCAGAAUUAACGCUAUUCUAGGCACUGUUACUUUAUGCACACAUUAUCCAAUAAGGCAUCUUAAUAAGUUUAAUAAUGAAAUUGCAUAAUUUGAGACUAGAUCCUUCUGUCUUCAAGUCCAUUUUGCAAUUCAAAUUCUGAUGAAAGAUGUUAUCAGAUUCUUUUGAGGUACUCUGUGUGUAUAAAUAGUUCCUUCUUUGCAAGACUAGCAUAAAUAUACUGCAAGUUUCUGCACUUCAUCUUAAGGCUUGUAAUUUGUAUCAAUGCCUGUCAUAUGAGUUACCUGAUGCCAUUGCUGCAUGAAGUUGCUCUUUUGGCACGAUACGCCGUGGUAUAUAUGUCGUUUUGCUCAUCAGUUUGUCGUGUGCUCAGGUAGAGAACAGAGUGGACCUGUUUCCUGCCCUCCUUCAUCAAAUCUACAUUACAUUGUACAUAUUGUAUCAUAGUGUCAGUCUGUGCGGUGCGGGUUUUGUAAAGCAGUUCCGAGUGACGUCCCAAUUAGGUAGUGAUGUGUUCUAUUUAUUGUAUGUCCUUGGGGCGGUUCUUGAAACUCACUAUUUUUUAAUAUUCUAGAUUAGAGAUGAUAUUGUUGAACUGGCACUACCAUCACAGUAGCUGGUUUGCAGAUGGGAAACCAAUGGGCCAAGACCAAUUAUUGUGUUGUGUGUUUUCAUAAAGCAGACAGUGGAUGUAACAUUUUUUUUAUCACUGGCUUGUUGAGCAGAGAAUGGUGUUUAAUAAAAACAGCAGCAGGAUGACAGGUGUAUCAGAAAAUAAUUUUGGCAGCCUUUAUUGACAUUCCUUGUAUGGCAGCAUAUGUAGCAGUAUUUUCUGAUAAACCCUGUACUGAGUGGCACAUCUUUUAAAUAUGCAAUCGAUCAAGGAAUCAAACUGUUAUUUCAAUUCACUGCUUCCAUUAACUGUGUUGUCCGCUGCCACUAGAUAUCAGCGGAGGAAACAGAAACAUAGCUAUGCAUUCAAGUAAUAAUUAUUAUUAAGCACUUUCACAUGAUUUAAAAUGUACAAUUAUGUAUAUAUAUACAUAUAUAUUAUAUAUGACUUGUUUGGCAACUGACUUAGCAAGACAUGAACAAGCCGGAACUGUGGCAUGGGGUUGCUUGUAUAUUUUUAUAUAAGUGCUAAACAUUACAGUUGAGCAUAAUUAAGACAAAUUAUCGCAUGAAAUUAUGAAAAUAUUGAAUUCCACAUUGAAAAAAUCAAAACUUUUUAUCAUAAAAAUGAAAGAUACAAACCGUCCAGAGCUGGUCACAUUUGCACCCUACAAUCCUGUGGAAGGAAGAGAAGGCACUAAAAAAUUCACUGGAAUAAAACGUGUUCAACCCUUCUCACAGUUCUGAGUCUUGUUUUUUUUAUCUUUGCAUAGUUUAAAAAAUGGAAGAGUUAAAUAUUUUAGUCCUCCAAAAUAAUAAUUAAUAUUAAUAAUAAUAAUAAUGUCAGCAUUUGUAACACCAGAAGAUUCCAUUAUGGUUACAACACAUGGUUGUGGUUCCAGAAAAUGAAUUGCAAUAUGUACAAGCUAGAUCAUACCUCAGACUGGUGUCUUUUCAAUACCUCAUUACUGUACACACAUUCACAUGUUUUGUGCGCUGGUAGGAAGAAACUGCAGUAGCAGCAGCAUGUGCGUACUGUACGUGGGCACAGGUCCAUUCAUGAAGGGGCGUGAUGAUGUGUAAGUCAUGUAGAUUGUUCUCAGUGUUUGGGGGGAAUCUACUGCCACCGUCUUCAUGGUAGAUGAUUAUGAUGAUCAUCAAAUAAAAUUAUAUUGAAAUAGCGAGAGAGAGGCCAGAACUGGGACCUCAAGGAAACAACCACAAUACGAACGGUGAAAGGAAUGCCUGGCCCAUAGGGCAGUGUGAUUUGGUUGAAACUGAGGAGAUAGAAUAUUAGAGAAAGGGAACGGUGGCUGUCUCAGAGUGUGUAUGUUCUUCCAAAAUGACGGUAACCAUCUACCUGAGUACACUGUGUCACACCCCAUAAGACAGGCAUGUUCAUUGUCACUGCUGUGAGAUCCUCAAACCUCCAUGCCCUCUGCUUGCAAUUCCUGCCUGAAUUUUCUUUUUCUCUUGAGCCUGAUCCAGCAGCAUAUGAUGGGAUACAUUUUUCUAUAUGUGCAGUUUUUCCCAUAGUGUAUAUAUAAAUUAAAUUUAUGUAGUCCAUAUUCUUUUUACAUUGUGUAAUGUUAAGAGCUACAUGACUUUAAAUUUCUGCUUUUCUGGGCAGAUAAAAUGGCAGAUUACAGUUGUCUGCAAAGUAAUAUCUAUGUGGUAUGGCACGUGGUACCUGUAUACUAGUAGACCAUAACCUUCGUAGUUCCAUCUGUGAGCACCUCAAGUGUGGACGAGAGAGUUUUAUAUCAUGUUUUCAAAAUACUUUGCUUGAAUCUCACACUUGAACUCAGACAUUCACAAAACACAUAAUAUAUAAUUCAGCUGAUGCAAAGAAUUAAUUGGAACAAACAGAAAUUAAUAUUUUUCGCAGUUGUGGUAAUUAUAUUUAAGUUGUCAGUGAAAGGGAUAAUAAUCAGAAAAGGUUCACAAGACAAUUUACAGAACUAAAGAUUUUCUUUUCCAAGAAAAGUGCCAGUUCUUUUAUAAUUAUGUUCUGUCUGGCUCUGUUUUAUCUGUAAGAACCAAACCCCUUCAAUCAUCUAGAAAACCUCCCCACAGCCUAGAAAUAUAGGAGCUCCCCCCCUCAGGCCUCUCUUAUGAUGCGUCUGCUUACGAUAUAGCUUUGCUCUAGGAAACCUUCCUUACAGUGUAGUAACCCUUUUGAAUUCAGCUGUUGGAAGAGUUGUUUUUCUUUUAGAAAUGAAGUAUUUAAUGUUUUGUAACUAUUACUGAUCCUUUCCUAAUACUAUAUAUCUGUUUUUAAGCCUACUUUCCAUAUUUUGGAAAAAUAGGAACAGGAUUAUGCUAUCACUCUGCUGUCCCCAUGUCCCUCCCUAUCAAUCUUUAUGAAACUUUGUAUGCAGAUCACAGUAUCUGAGCCCAUCUCAAUGACAUACUUCAUAAAUCCCUCCAAUAAUUCUGUGUAUCCCACUAUUGUUGCUAGACAACAGCUCGGUAAGAACAUUACCACGGCAACAGAUAUGCAUGCAACGCUAGAAGAAUUGUUGGGUGCAUUGUUUCCUGCACAUUGUGUCAUAUCAAAUGAAAGUAGGGGGUUAGUUCUUCCUAGAACUUCUUGUUUUAUAUAUUUUAAUUAUAUAUACAUAUUCCAUUUUGGUUUAGAACAAAUUACAGUUCCGAGUCUGAUAUGGUUGCUUAAUAAUUAAAUGCUGGAUUAUAGAGGGUUCAAAAUUCUGCUGGAUUUUUUUGUUGGAUGCCACCUGUCCUGUUAAUUACAAAGCCUCAUGGAACGUUGCAGACAGUUUAGUACAAUAAUUCCAAAAAUAAACCUGCCCUUCAGUGUAAUUAUUCAUAAAAGGUGGAAAUUAAGUUUUUAAUCUUUUGUUGGCUGAGUUUCUUGGAAAAUUUAGAAUAAAGAAGUCUGAAAGGGUACUUAUGUAGUAGGUCUCAAAAUAACACAGCCUAAAUGAACCCAACUGAGCCUAACCUAAAAUUUCAAAGGAUGUAAAGCUAAAAAUGUAACAUAGAAAGGGAUGAAAGUUUCCAGUAGGUAUUUAUGUUCUCUCAACACAGACAGGAUAUUGAAAUAUCAUACAUGUUCAGAAUUACUUGGACCAAAUGUGGACUGUGGUAGUGUAUUCCAUAUCUGAGUGUGUCAUAAUUUUGUUAGCCCCUGUACAUAAUUACUGUCAGACUGUUCUGUUAAUGAGAGCGUUGUAAUUGGAAGGUUCCUGAGGUUUCAUGGCAUUAUGCUGCUCAGAGUUGCAUUACAGUUCUGUAUACCUAACUACAACACCAAGAAACUGCAGUCUUUCUUCCUACUUGUGCCCAAUUUCCUUCUCUGUGGUAAGGUUAGGUUUUAGGUAGUACUGGUUGUGUAUGGAGGCCUUUCAAACUACAGGAGUGUUUACAACUCCAAACAAAAGGUCAUGCUUCUAGCUUUAAGGCCAAGUAACAGAAGAGUAAAUAUUCAUGUUUUUUGCACAUGGUCAGUUGUAUUAUGAACAUCCCCCCCCCCUGUUUUGUAGGUGACCCAGUGAAAACCAAUAAAACAUCUUGAAGCUA